UACGGAGGGUGCAAGCGUUACCCGGAAUCACUGGGCGUAAAGGGCGUGUGAGGCGGCCACGUAAGUCCGACUUUAAAGACCGGAGCUCAACUUCGGGGAUGGGUUGGAUACUGUGUGGGCUUGACCUCUGGAGAGGCAACUGGAAUUCCUGGUGUAGCGGUGGAAUGCGUAGAUACCGAGGAGGAACGACCGGUGGCGAAGGCGGGGUCUCUGGGCAGCAACUGGACGGCUGAGGAGGCGAA
rnacentral:rRNA from 1 species